GAAUUCAACUCCUACGGGAGGCAGCAGUGGGGAAUUUUGCACAAUGGGCGAAAGCCUGAUGCAGCGACGCCGCGUGCGGGAUGACGGCAUUCGGGUUGUAAACCGCUUUCAGCUCUGACGAAGCUUUUGUGACGGUAGGAGCAGAAGAAGCACCGGCUAACUACGUGCCAGCAGCCGCGGUAAUACGUAGGGUGCGAGCGUUGUCCGGAAUUAUUGGGCGUAAAGAGCUUGUAGGCGGCUUGUCGCGUCUGCUGUGAAAACCCGGGGCUUAACCCCGGGCUUGCAGUGGGUACGGGCAGGCUAGAGUGUGGUAGGGGAGACUGGAAUUCCUGGUGUAGCGGUGGAAUGCGCAGAUAUCAGGAGGAACACCGAUGGCGAAGGCAGGUCUCUGGGCCAUUACUGACGCUGAGAAGCGAAAGCGUGGGGAGCGAACAGGAUUAGAAACCCGAGUAGUCCAGGCGUU
rnacentral:rRNA from 1 species